rnacentral:rRNA from 1 species
AGAGUUUGAUCCUGGCUCAGAGUGAACGCUGGCGGUGUGCUUAACACAUGCAAGUCGAACGAGAACGGUACUAGCUUGCUAGUAUGUCAGCUAAGUGGCGGACGGGUGAGUAAUGUAUAGUUAAUCUGCCCUUUAGAGAGGAAUAACUACUGGAAACGGUAGCUAAUACCUCAUACUCCUUCUACCUUAAUGGUAGUUGGGAAACGUUUUUUCGCUAAAGGAUGAGACUAUAUGGUAUCAGGUAGUUGGUGGGGUAAGAGCCUACCAAGCCUAUGACGCCUAGCUGGUCUGAGAGGAUGAUCAGCCACACUGGAACUGAGACACGGUCCAGACUCCUACGGGAGGCAGCAGUGGGGAAUAUUGCACAAUGGAGGAAACUCUGAUGCAGCAACACCGCGUGGAGGAUGACACAUUUCGGUGCGUAAACUCCUUUUAUAUGGGAAGAUAAUGACGGUACCAUAUGAAUAAGCACCGCUAAC